rnacentral:lncRNA from 1 species
CAGGUCAUUCAACAUUUAUUCAACCAAAAAUACUAAGUCAGCUCUAUACAAACUAAUGGAAGGAUACAGCUAUGCAAAUAUAGAACACUAAAGUGUUACAUGACAGAUGUAUGAGAACUGGGAAGAAAGGACCCUGAAAAGUUAGCUGGUUCCAAGUGACCCUCCAAGGGGAAGAGUGCUGGAUUCAGAGCCCACCUCAGGGGAAGACAGGACCCUCUCCAAGAUGGUUUCCCUAGAAGCUACUACCUCUCCCUGGAGGGUGGAGAUAUUUGCUGGUCAAAGCAAGAAGGCCCUCUGCAGAUGCUGACACCUUGAUAUUGGACUUCCCAGAUUCCAGAACUCUGAGAAAUAAAUUUCUAUUUUAAAUAA